rnacentral:rRNA from 1 species
CCUACGGGUGGCAGCAGUGGGGGAUAUUGGACAAUGGGGGAAACCCUGAUCCAGCGACGCCGCGUGAGUGAAGAAGUAUUUCGGUAUGUAAAGCUCUAUCAGCCGGGAAGAAAGAAAUGACGGUACCUGAGUAAGAAGCCCCGGCUAACUACGUGCCAGCAGCAGCGGGAAUACGUAGGGGGCAAGCGUUAUCCGGAAUUACUGGGUGUAAGGGGAGCUAAGACGGUACUGCAAGUCUGGAGUGAAGGGCGGGGGCCUAACCCCCGGACUGCUUUGGAAACUGUGUAACUGGAGUGCAGGAGAGGCAGGCGGAAUUCAUAGUGUAGCGGUGAAAUGCGUAGAUAUUAGGAGGAACCCCAGUGGCGAAGGCGGCCUGCUGGACUGCAACUGACGUUGAGGCUCGAAAGUGUGGGGAGCAAACAGGAUUAGAUACCCCGGUAGUC